AAUUCGGCCCGAACCCUUCUGGUG
rnacentral:rasiRNA from 1 species